UUACGCGCCAGCUAUUGGAAUUAUUAAAGACACCCGGAGUAAAAUUCAAAGUAACUAAACAACAACGCGAGGCUGUUGAUAAAGCAAAAAAAUAUUAUUACUCGAAAAAAUGAAGUUCUUUCGACGGCAGUUAUUUUGGUACGACCAACUGACAAUAAACUAGCCAAAGAAUCUGAAGAAGAAACCGACAAAAAUGUUACGAUUCCUGUAUCACCUUCGAGCGAAGGUUUAUUUUCAUCACCACCACACCAUUGCCAUAGUAGCCACCCAGUGAACA